AUUGAACGCUGGCGGCAUGCUUUACACAUGCGAGUCGAACGGCAGCACGGGCUUCGGCCUGGUGGCGAGUGGCGAACGGGUGAGUAAUAUAUCGGAACGUACCCAGAAGUGGGGGAUAACGUAGCGGAAGUUACGCUAAUACCGCAUACGAUCUAUGGAUGAAAGCAGGGGACCGCAAGGCCUUGUGCUCCUGGAGCGGCCGAUAUCUGAUUAGCUAGUUGGUGAGGUAAAGGCUCACCAAGGCGACGAUCAGUAGCUGGUCUGAGAGGACGACCAGCCACACUGGAACUGAGACACGGUCCAGACUCCUACGGGAGGCAGCAGUGGGGAAUUUUGGACAAUGGGCGCAAGCCUGAUCCAGCAAUGCCGCGUGAGUGAAGAAGGCCUUCGGGUUGUAAAGCUCUUUUGUCAGGGAAGAAACGGUAGAGGCUAAUAUCCUUUGCUAAUGACGGUACCUGAAGAAUAAGCACCGGCUAACUACGUG
rnacentral:rRNA from 1 species